GAUGAACGCUAGCGAUAGGCUUAACACAUGCAAGUCGAGGGGCAGCAUGGUCUUAGCUUGCUAAGACUGAUGGCGACCGGCGCACGGGUGCGUAACGCGUAUGCAACUUGCCUCACAGAGGGGGAUAACCCGUCGAAAGACGGACUAAUACCGCGUACACUUGGGAUAGGGCAUCCUGACCCAAGGAAAUGAAAUUCGCUGUGAGAUAGGCAUGCGUCCCAUUAGCUAGUUGGUGAGGUAACGGCUCACCAAGGCGACGAUGGGUAGGGGAACUGAGAGGUUGAACCCCCACACUGGUACUGAGACCCGGACCAGACUCCUACGGGAGGCAGCAGUGAGGAAUAUUGGUCAAUGGGCGAGAGCCUGAACCAGCCAAGUCGCGUGAAGGAUGACUGUCUUAUGGAUUGUAAACUUCUUUUAUACGGGAAUAACAAGAGCCACGUGUGGCUCCCUGCAUGUACCGUAUGAAGAAGCAUCGGCUACCUCCGU
rnacentral:rRNA from 1 species